rnacentral:rRNA from 1 species
UACAGAGGUCUCGAGCGUUGUUCGGAUUCAUUGGGCGUAAAGGGCGCGUAGGCGGCGGGGUAAGUCUGGUGUGAAAUCUAGGAGCUCAACUCCUAAACUGCACUGGAUACUGCUCUGCUAGAGGACUGGAGAGGAGACUGGAAUUUACGGUGUAGCAGUGAAAUGCGCAGAUAUCAGGAGGAACACCGAUGGCGAAGGCAGCUCACUGGGACGGUACUGACGCUGAGGCGCGAAAGCGUGGGGAGCAAACAGG